rnacentral:rRNA from 1 species
UGGGGAAUAUUGCACAAUGGGGGAAACCCUGAUGCAGCGACGCCGCGUGAGCGAAGAAGGCUUUCGAGUCGUAAAGCUCUGUCCUAUGAGAAGAUAAUGACGGUAUCAUAGGAGGAAGCCCUGGCUAAAUACGUGCCAGCAGCCGCGGUAAUACGUAUGGGGCGAGCGUUGUCCGGAAUUAUUGGGCGUAAAGGGUACGUAGGCGGUUUUUUAAGUCAGGUGUCAAAGCGUGGAGCUUAACUCCAUUAAGCACUUGAAACUGAAAGACUUGAGUGAAGGGGAGGAAAGUGGAAUUCCUAGUGUGGCGGUGAAAUGCGUAGAUAUUAGGAGGAAUACCGGUGGCGAAGGCGACUUUCUGGACUUUUACUGACGCUCAGGUACGAAAGCGUGGGGAGCAAACAGG